GUGGGGAAUCUUGCGCAAUGGGCGAAAGCCUGACGCAGCCAUGCCGCGUGAAUGAUGAAGGUCUUAGGAUUGUAAAAUUCUUUCACCGGGGACGAUAAUGACGGUACCCGGAGAAGAAGCCCCGGCUAACUUCGUGCCAGCAGCCGCGGUAAUACGAAGGGGGCUAGCGUUGCUCGGAAUUACUGGGCGUAAAGGGCGCGUAGGCGGACAGUUUAGUCAGAGGUGAAAGCCCAGGGCUCAACCGUGGAAUUGCCUUUGAUACUGGCUGUCUUGAGUACGGGAGAGGUGAGUGGAACUCCGAGUGUAGAGGUGAAAUUCGUAGAUAUUCGGAAGAACACCAGUGGCGAAGGCGACUCACUGGCCCGUUACUGACGCUGAGGCGCGAAAGCGUGGGGAGCAAACAGGAUUAGAAACCCUAGUAGUCC
rnacentral:rRNA from 1 species